ensembl:rRNA 5S_rRNA 5S ribosomal RNA
GUCUACGGCCAUACCACCCUGAACGUGCCUGAUCUCAUCUGAUCUUGGAAGCUAAGCAGGGUCCAGCCUGGUUAGUACUUGGAUGGGAGAAAUAUAUGACUUUAAAAU